CUGCUGCCUCCCGUAGGAGUUUGGGCCGUGUCUCAGUCCCAAUGUGGCCGUCCACCCUCUCAGGCCGGCUACUGAUCGCUGCCUUGGUGGGCCGUUACCCCGCCAACUAGCUAAUCAGACGCGGGUCCAUCUCAUACCACCGGAGUUUUUCACACAAAACCAUGCGGUUCCGUGCGCUUAUGCGGUAUUAGCAGUCAUUUCUGGCUGUUACUCCCCCUGUAUGAGGCAGGUUACCCACGCGUUACUCACCCGUCCG
rnacentral:rRNA from 1 species